GGGUUCGUAGCUCAGCCAGGCAGAGCGUCUGGCUCUUAACCAGUCAGUCAUUCUGGGUUAAAAUGUCGAGGGUCCGAAUCCCUCCGAACCCG
rfam:Candidatus Nitrososphaera gargensis Ga9.2, complete genome.